UACGUAGGGUGCGAGCGUUAAUCGGAAUUACUGGGCGUAAAGCGUGCGCAGGCGGUUUUUUAAGACCGGCGUGAAAUUCCCGGGCUUAACCUGGGAACUGCGCUUGUGACUGGAAGGCUAGAGUACGGCAGAGGGGGGUGGAAUUCCACGUGUAGCAGUGAAAUGCGUAGAGAUGUGGAGGAACACCGAUGGCGAAGGCAGCCCCCUGGGCCGAUACUGACGCUCAUGCACGAAAGCGUGGGGAGCAAACAGG
rnacentral:rRNA from 1 species